rnacentral:lncRNA from 1 species
ACCUGGUGCGCGGCUCCGGACCUGGCGACCCACGACCGGCUGGUCACUUGCUGCCGCCUCGCAAAGGCGCAUCUCUAGUCCAGUGGCCAUGUGCUCAUUUCCACUUACCUGGCAGGGGAGAGACCGUGGUCACGAAGGGGGUUCUCCCAGAGUGAAGCUUCUUCAUCUCACUCUAGAGUUGCUGAUCCCUGUGAUUUCCUCCAUGUGGGAAACGGUGUUUGUGCUAGAAGAGGCUGCGCUCUUUACCUGACAUAACGGGGUUCAAGACUGACAUCGCCUCACGCCCACCCGAAAACGUUUACAUGGCUUCCUUGUCUCUUUUUUUUUCUGUCCUAAAGUCGCCUCAUCUUCACAUCCCCUCAUUUUUUCUUCCACACUCGAGAGUGUCUCUCUCUCUCAUUAAAAGCUCCACCAAAUAUUUGAAAUAUCUCAA